GGAAAGGUGAAAAGCACCCCGAUAAGGGGAGUGAAAUAGAUCCUGAAACCGGAUGCUUACAAGCAGUGGGAGCCUCCUUGUGGGGUGACCGCGUACCUUUUGUAUAAUGGGCCAGCGACUUAAUCUAUGCAGCGAGCUUAAACCGUUAGGUGUAGGCGCAGCGAAAGCGAGUCUUAAUAGGGCGAAUGAGUUCGUGGGAUCAGACCCGAAACCGAGUGAUCUAGGCAUGACCAGGAUGAAGGUACGGUAACACGUACUGGAGGUCCGAACCCACACCUGUUGAAAAAGGUCGGGAUGAGUUGUGGCUAGGGGUGAAAGGCCA
rnacentral:rRNA from 1 species